GGGAGAGGAGCCCCAGCCCCAGGACUUCCAGGUCUGCCCACUCGCUGGUCAGGACUGAACACAGACGGCGCACCAUGGAGUCUGGGCUGAUCUGGCUUCUCUUCGUUGCUCUGUUACAAGGUGUUCAGUGUGAGGUGCAGCUGGUGGAGUCAGGUGGAGGCUUGGUCCAGCCUGGGGCGUCCCUGAGACUCUCCUGUAAAGCCUCUGGAUUCACCUUUGGUGAUUACUGGAUGGACUGGGUCCGCCAGGCUCCUGGGAAGGGGCUGGAGUGGGUCUCACGUAUUAGUAGUAGUGGUGGUAGCACGUACUACCCCGACUCGGUGAAGGGCCGAUUCACCAUCUCCAGAGACAAUGGCAAGAACACUCUGUAUCUGCAAAUGAACAACCUGAGGUCCGAGGACACUGCCCUGUAUUACUGUGCGAGGGACACAGCGAUGGGACUGCGGUGUGAGCCCAGACACGAACCUCCUGUGCGGCGUGGCCGCCAGGGGGCGCCCGGGACACAGGCGCGGAGUCACCCAGGGCAGUGAAAAUCUUCAAAGGACAGAUGGUAUCCUUGUCACCAUCAAGCCAAUGGUGGUCAUUUCCAUGUCACUUAUCCUCUUCAUGACAGAGCAGCUGCAGGUCCUCCAGGGCUCCUGA